ensembl:processed_transcript
AUGUCGGCGAUUUCUGCGUCGGAGAAAGUGGACGGGUUCACGCGGAAGUCUGUGAGGAAGGCGCAAAGGCAGAGGGUAUGCCAGGGCUCGUCUCAAUUUGCGGUCAACAGCAGCAGGCCUGCGGCUCCAGAGAUCUCGGCGCUCCCGCAGCUCAAAGAUGCAUCUUCUACAGAGCAGCAUGAGCUGUUCAUGCAGAAGCUACAGCAGUGCUGCAAAUUGUUCGACUUCUACGACACAGUGACUGACCUAAAGAGCAAAGAGACCAAACGGGCCACUCUCAGCGAACUCGUGGAUUAUGUGUCCACUAACAGAGGCGUUCUGGUGGAGCCCGUCUAUCCCGAAAUCACCACAAUGGUCAGCACAAACAUUUUCAGAACACUUCCACCCAGUGAAAACCCAGACUUUGAUCCAGAAGAAGAUGAACCCACGCUUGAAGCCUCCUGGCCACACAUGCAGUUGGUGUAUGAGUUUUUCCUUCGAUUCCUUGAAAAUCCAGACUUCCAGCCAAGCACUGCCAAACGUUAUAUUGACCAGAAGUUUGUGCUACAGCUUUUAGAGCUCUUUGACAGUGAAGAUCCUCGUGAGAGAGAGUUUUUAAAAACAAUUCUGCAUCGCAUCUAUGGGAAGUUUCUGGGUUUGCGUGCCUUUAUUCGGAAACAGAUCAACAACAUUUUUCUAAGAUUCAUCUAUGAAACUGAGCACUUUAAUGGAGUUGCUGAACUCCUCGAGAUUCUGGGCAGUAUCAUCAAUGGCUUCGCUCUGCCGCUGAAGGCCGAACACAAGCAGUUCCUCAUGAAAAUCCUCAUUCCUCUGCACACUGCCAAACCACUAGCACUGUUCCAUGCACAGCUGGCCUACUGUGUGGUUCAGUUCUUAGAAAAGGACCCGACACUUACUGAAGUGGUGGUUCGUGGCCUACUGAAAUUCUGGCCCAAGACCUGUAGUCAAAAAGAGGUCAUGUUUCUAGGGGAAAUCGAGGAGAUCCUGGACGUUAUUGAGCCCACGCAGUUCAAGAAAAUUCAAGAGCCUUUAUUUAAGCAAAUCGCUAAAUGUGUAGCCAGCCCUCAUUUUCAGGUAGCAGAGCGAGCGCUGUACUAUUGGAACAAUGAGUAUAUUUUGAGUCUAAUCGAGGAGAAUAAUGCCAAAAUCUUUCCCAUCAUGUUCGGAAACUUGUACCGGAUCUCCAAAGAGCACUGGAACCCGACAAUUGUGGCGCUGGUGUAUAAUGUGUUAAAAACCAUGAUGGAGAUGAACAGCAAACUCUUUGAUGAGUUGACGACUUCAUACAAGUCUGACAGACAGCGAGAGAAGAAGAAAGAGCAGGAGCGUGAGGAACUGUGGAGGAGAUUGGAUGAACUGAGAAUGAAAGAGGUGUUGAUGAUCCAGAACAACAGACACGACAUCCAGUUCACUUACAACAACAACAACCACCAUUAG